CUAGGAAAACCGAAAACAGUUCUAGACAGACCUGCGGUUUUAUAGCAGUUUUGGCAGUCAACUUCAGCUUGUGGCUGAGCAGACUGGGCCGUGGUGGCCCGCCAGCGGGGGACGCCAGGCCGCCUCCCCCGGCUGCACGCAGCCCCUCUCUUAAUUAGAUCGGUUUUCCCCUGGUGCCAGGGAGAACGGGUCCCCGCGGAAAGG
ensembl:misc_RNA